rnacentral:tRNA from 1 species
GAAUGUGGCUCAGUGGUAGAGUGCUUGUCCAGCAUGCAUGAGGCCUUAGGUUGGAUCCCUAGCACCA